rnacentral:rRNA from 1 species
GUAGGUGGCAAGCGUUGUCCGGAAUUAUUGGGCGUAAAGCGCGCGCAGGCGGUCCUUUAAGUCUGAUGUGAAAGCCCACGGCUCAACCAUGGAGGGUCAUUGGAAACUGGGGGACUUGAGUACCGAAGAGGAAAGCGGAAUUCCAAGUGUAGCGGUGAAAUGCGUAGAGAUUUGGAGGAACACCAGUGGCGAAGGCGGCUUUCUGGUCUGUAACUGACGCUGAGGCGCGAAAGCGUGGGGAGCAAACAGGGAUUAGAUACCCUGGUAGUCCACGCCGUAAACGAUGAGUGCUAAGUGUUAGGGGGGUUUCCGCCCCCCUUAGUGCUGCAGCUAACGCAUUAAGCACUCCGCCUGGGGAGUACGGCCGCAAGGCUG